rnacentral:rRNA from 1 species
GCUGAAAGCAUCUAAGCACGAAACUUGCCCCGAGAUGAGUUCUCCCUGAGACUAUAAGUCUCCUGAAGGAACGUUAAAGACGAUGACGUUGAUAGGCCGGGUGUGUAAGCGCAGCGAUGCGUUGAGCUAACCGGUACUAAUGAACCGUGAGGCUUAACCUUAC